AGAGUUUGAUCCUGGCUCAGAUUGAACGCUGGCGGCAUGCUUUACACAUGCAAGUCGAACGGGGUUAAGGGGCUUGCUCCUUAAUCUAGUGGCGAACGGGUGAGUAAUGCAUCGGAACGUACCCGGGAGUGGGGGAUAACGCACCGAAAGGUGUGCUAAUACCGCAUAUUCUGUGAGCAGGAAAGCAGGGGACCUUAGGGCCUUGUGCUUCCGGAGCGGCCGAUGUCGGAUUAGCUAGUUGGUGAGGUAAAGGUUCACCAAGGCGACGAUCCGUAGCGGGUCUGAGAGGAUGAUCCGCCACACUGGGACUGAGACACGGCCCAGACUCCUACGGGAGGCAGCAGUGGGGAAUUUUGGACAAUGGGCGCAAGCCUGAUCCAGCCAUGCCGCGUGUCUGAAGAAGGCCUUCGGGUUGUAAAGGACUUUUGUCAGGAAGGAAAACCUAUUGGCUAAUAUCCAGUGGGGAUGACAGUACCUGAAGAAUAAGCACCGGCUAACUACGUGCCA
rnacentral:rRNA from 1 species